GGGUUCACUUCCGGCGGCCGGCUGCCCCCGCCUCAGCCCGCCGUGUGUCGGUCCCCGACCCCCCCUCGCGGAGCCGCCAGCGCGCGUGCGCCGCGGCCCCGCGUCUCCCCAGCGGCAGCGGAGGAGUUUGGAAGUUCAAAAUGGCCGCCGCGGUGGAGCCCGAGCUGCGAGCGCCAGAGGCUGAGGAUGCUGAUGCAUCUGAGAGAAGUGUCAAUGAAGAAAACGGAGAAGUAUCAGAGGCAGACCAACCUCAGAACAAGCACAGCCGACACAAAAAAAAGAAACACAAACACCGAAGUAAACAUAAGAAACAUAAACAUUCUUCAGAAGAAGAUAAGGACAAAAAACAUAAACACAGACACAAACAUAAGAAACAUAAACGGAAAGAGGUAGCUGAUACCUCUGACAAAGAAGAUGGACCAGCUAAAAGAACUAAAAUUGAUGUUUUAGCUCCUCUGGAAGACUUGGAGAAACAAAGAGCAUUAUUGAAAGCUGAACUUGAAAAUGAAUUAAUGGAAGGAAAAGUCCAGUCUGGGAUGGGAUUAAUAUUACAAGGUUAUGAAUCAGGAUCUGAAGAAGAGGGGGAGAUUAAUGAAAAAGUGCGAAAUGGAACAAGACCUACAGCUAAGUCAAACACUAAGGGGAAAUUGGAACCUGUGGACAACAAAACUAGUUCCAAGAAAGGAAGUAAGAGUGAAUCAAAAGAAAGGACUAGGCACAGAUCUGACAAAAAAAAAGGCAAGGUGGGAGUUGAUGGCAUCAAAGAGAAGACAACCAGAAGCAAGUCAAAAGAGAGGAGGAAAUCCAAAAGCCCUUAUAAGAGAAGUAAGUCUCAAGAUCAGACAAGGAAAUCUAGGUCCCCAAUGCUUAAAAGACGAUCUCAGGAGAAAAACAGGAAGUCUAAAUCCCCCCCAGAGGAUAGAAAUAAGGCUGAUGAUAAAAAUAAAUCAAGAGAUCGCAGAAAGUCUCCAGUUGUAAAUGAAAACAAAAGCAGAGAUCGUGGCAGAAAAUCUAAAUCUCCAACAGAACUAAGAAGCAAAUCCAAAGAUAGAAGAUCGCGGUCCAAAGAUAGAAAACCUAGGAGAUCAGAGACUGAGAAAGAAAAAAAGCCAAUUAAAUCUCCUUCUAAAGAUGCUUCUUCAGGGAAAGAAAACAGGUCCCCUAGACGACCUGGCCGGAGCCCGAAAGGAAGAAGCUUAUCUCCCAAACAACGUGAAAAGUCAAGAAGAAGCAGAUCCCCUCUCUUUAAUGAUCGUAGAUCUAAACAGAGUAAAUCCCCCUCUCGAACCCGGUCUCCAGUUAGAAGAGUGAGGAGUAGAUCUGCAGAAAGGAAAAGAAGAGACUCGGAAAGGAGGCGUCUUUCUUCUCCCAGAACACGGACCAGAGAUGAUAUUUUGUCUAGACGUGAAAGAUCAAAGGACAUUAGCCCACCCAGUAGAUGGUCACCAUCCAGGAGAAGGUCUCGGUCCCCCAUUAGAAGGAGGUCUCGUUCACCUCUUCGACGUAGCCGAUCUCCAAGAAGGCGGAGUAGGUCUCCUCGGAGGAGGGAUAGAAGCCGAAGAAGUAGAUCUCGCCUUCGAAGGAGGUCCAGGUCACGUGGUGGCCAUAGGCGUAGAAGCAGAAGCAAAGUUAAAGAAGACAAAUUUAAAGGUAGUCUUUCUGAGGGUAUGAAAGCUGAACAGGAGUCUUCAUCAGAUGAAAAUCUUGAAGACUUUGAUUUGGAAGAAGAGGAUGAAGAAGCAGAGAUAAGACAAAGAAGAUUACAGCGGCAAGCAAUUGUUCAGAAAUACAAAGGCCAGACAGAAGACAGCAAUAUAUCUGUACCGUCUGAACCAAGCAGUCCUCAAAGUAGUACGCGUAGUCGUUCUAAUUCACCAGAUGACAUCCUAGAAAGAGUAGCUGCUGAUGUCAAGGAAUAUGAACGGGAAAAUGUGGACACAUUUGAGGCAUCUGUAAAAGCCAAGCACAAUCUCAUGACGGUUGAACAGAACAAUGGUUCAGCUCAGAAGAAACUGCUAGCUCCUGAUAUGUUCACAGAAUCUGACGAUAUGUUCGCUGCAUAUUUUGAUAGUGCUCGUCUAAGGGCUGCUGGGUUUGGAAAAGACUUCAAAGAAAACCCCAAUCUCAGGGAUAACUGGACUGAUGCAGAAGGCUAUUACCGUGUUAACAUAGGUGAAGUUCUAGAUAAACGUUACAAUGUCUAUGGUUACACUGGUCAGGGAGUCUUCAGUAACGUAGUGCGAGCCAGGGACAUGGCGAGAGCAAACCAAGAAGUAGCGGUUAAAAUCAUCAGGAACAAUGAACUUAUGCAAAAAACUGGCCUAAAAGAACUGGAAUUUUUGAAGAAGCUCAAUGAUGCAGAUCCUGAUGACAAGUUUCAUUGUUUACGGUUGUUCAGGCAUUUCUACCACAAACAGCAUCUCUGUCUGGUAUUUGAGCCACUCAGUAUGAAUUUACGAGAGGUGUUGAAAAAGUAUGGGAAGGAUGUUGGACUCCAUAUUAAGGCUGUGCGUUCCUACAGCCAGCAGCUAUUCCUGGCUUUAAAGCUUCUUAAAAGAUGUAAUAUCCUACAUGCAGAUAUAAAACCAGAUAAUAUUUUGGUCAAUGAGUCUAAAACUAUAUUGAAGCUUUGUGAUUUUGGAUCUGCUUCACAUGUUGCAGAUAAUGACAUCACACCAUAUCUAGUUAGUAGAUUUUAUCGAGCUCCAGAAAUCAUUAUAGGAAAAAUCUAUGACUACGGUAUAGACAUGUGGUCUGUAGGCUGCACAUUAUAUGAACUUUAUACAGGGAAAAUACUCUUUCCUGGCAAAACCAAUAACCAUAUGUUGAAACUAGCCAUGGACCUCAAAGGAAAGAUGCCAAACAAGAUGAUUCGAAAAGGUGUGUUCAAAGAUCAGCACUUUGAUCAAAAUCUCAACUUUAUGUAUAUAGAAGUAGAUAAAGUGACAGAAAGGGAGAAAGUUACUGUUAUGAGCACCAUUAAUCCAACCAAGGACCUGUUGGCAGACUUGAUUGGGUGCCAACGACUCCCUGAAGACCAGCGUAAAAAAGUGCACCAGCUGAAGGACUUGUUGGACCAGAUUCUAAUGUUAGACCCAGCUAAACGGAUUAGCAUCAACCAGGCUCUGCAGCACGCCUUCAUCCAGGAAAAAAUUUAAACCAGAUGAAGAAGUUCAAAGGGUUUGAGUAAUUAAGAUACAAAGACUGAAGAAAUUUCACAGCAGUUAUUAAUGUGUGUGUGUGCAGGCCACAGCAGCAUGCCCUUGGUGUAGUCAGUGCCGAAGGGGGUCUGUUCCUUCUUGAGCCUGCCCGCAGGGAUGGUCUCCUCUUUUAAAGCAGGUUGUGUACAACUUUCAGUACACUGAAGGCAUAAACCUUCCACUCUUGAACAAAGCAGCUGCUUUUUAAAAGCGAGAAAAAGGAAAGCGAGUCACAGGCCACUCACCGCCUACUCCAUGGGUCUGAUUUGCUGAGACACCAACUUCACCUUCCUAACAAGGUGCAGCUCAAAAGAAGAUGAUGACUACCAGAAGACAUGAACAAAGGUUUCUGUCCUGUAAAAGAUACGAAAAAUAUUCUUUGUGUAGUUCUGUCUUAAUCUUUUGGUUUCCAGCAUUCUAAUGUAGAAUUGAUUAAAACUGCUGCAGUACUGAUAAUUCCUGAAACAUACGUACUGUAUUAGAAUUUGCUACUUGGAUGUGUUUGUUUCAUUUCUGGUGAAGAGUUUUUUUGUUGUUUUGGUUUGGUUUUUUUACUGUGAUUAAAUGUAGGUUAAUAAGUAUUACUGUUUAAAUGCCAUUUUCUUAAAAUGGUAGAAUGAUCUGUACAAAACCUGGGAAAUUUGGGAAAAAAAUCUGCCAUUGUACUUGGUUAAAAUACAGAUGUUUAAACUAGUAAAUAUUUAGGCAGAUGAUGUACUUUUUUUCUUUAACUUCAGCAGGUUCGUUAUUUGUUUUAAUUCUGUCAGACUUUAUUAUUGCUACAGAAAUAAGCUGACAGGGGUUAUUCAAAACAAGUGUAUUUCAGUCCUCAUUCCAGCAUCUGCUUCAGCUGACGCUCCUUGUUGGCAACAAUAAAAAAACCCACAUUAGUUCUGGCUUCCAAAGCUUCUGGAACUGAAAACACUGUCAAGGACCUUCUCUGGUUGUAGACAAUACCUGUCUCAGUAGCCCCUGGUCUCUAAGGGGGGCAGAGCAGCUGCUGGUGCUGCUGCCAUCAGCUGAGCUUCCCUGCUUGCAGCUUGGUGCAAACAGAGUGGCUCUGCAGCAGAGUUCUUAUGUUAAACUGUUUCCCAGCUGAGCAAAGAGGGAGGAUCGUUUGUCUUUUCCUCCUGGACAUGAAGAUGUAAUUUGUAUCUUCACCUGAGGUCCUACAUAAAGGAAGUUUGGCUGAAACUACUGUGCUAGUUCCGGUUUCCUUCUCCCUGAUGGUGUCAAUGAGCUUCACAUUUAACAUAGUUUGCUAAGCAUUCAGAAAAAACAAGAUACCAGCCCUGUGCAGUUAGCAUGUGUUUUUAUUACCUUGAUGUAUUCUACUAUAAUAUAAAAAUUAGAAACUGUUUUAAGAGUUUGUGUGAUAGAAAGUAAUGAUUCCUUUAAAACUUUUUUAAUAAUACUUUAUCUCCGUACAUAGGGUAAGUGGCAUUAAACCUCUGAAGAACCUUUAUCUGUAUAUUGAGCUGUACACAGAAGGCUGACCAGCCUGUGGCACUACUGGAGAUAGAGCGAUCUUCUACAGUAUGUGUAAAAUUGUAACUCGGGUGGAGAAUGCUUGGAAGCAGCAAUUGCUUGACAUUAAUAAAGUACGCUUAAAACUUA